CGUUCAGCCACUGAUCGAUGGCUGAUUAGACGCCCUUUCCGAUGAGAUGCGUUGCUUGUAUUUCCUCUGGGCUUUUCGAUCUAGACGAGAUCUUUGGUUUGGCACCAAAAUCAGCGAGCAAGCACAUCGGAGUCGCGAGAUAUACUGCCCGGAAAUUUUCGCCCACGCCCAAAAUGGCCCCCACCCGCGCCUCGCGCGGCGCCAACUCAAGGUCAUGCUCGCAUCGUAGUCGUAUACCCGAUCGAACGAGACCACAUUUAUUUCAAUCGUGUUAUUAGUCACGAAGUUAUAGUGUCGUAAUGGAUCACCCUGCAAAUGUCUAAAAAUUCUUGCUGUUACAGGCCAUUCAUUACCAACUUUUCAAAAUAUCA